rnacentral:sRNA from 1 species
CUUGGUCAUUUAGAGGAAGUAAAAGUCGUAACAAGGUUUCCGUAGGUGAACCUGCGGAAGGAUCAUUCAUAAUAAGUGUUUAUGGCACUUCUUAAAUCCAUAUCCACCUUGUGUGCAAUGUCAGCCGUUUUCUUUAUGAAGGCGGCCAAACAUCAACUUAUUUUUUAACUGUCUGUCUGAAAACUAUUAUGAAUAAACAAUUCAAAUACAACUUUCAACAACGGAUCUCUUGGCUCUCGCAUCGAUGAAGAACGCAGCGAAAUGCGAUACGUAAUGUGAAUUGCAGAAUUCAGUGAAUCAUCGAAUCUUUGAACGCAUAUUGCGCUCUUUGGUAUUCCGAAGAGCAUGCUUGUUUGAGUAUCAGUAAACACCUCAAAGCCUUCAAUUCAGUUUGAAAGCUUUGGACUUGAGCAAUCCCAACAUCAGUCUCGCGACUGACGGAGGGCUGCUUGAAAUGCAGGUGCAGCUGGACAUUCUUCUGAGCUAUAAGCAUAUUUAUUUAGUCCCGUCAGACGGAUUAUUACUUUUGCUGCAGCUAACAUAAAGGGAGUCUGACCGUAUUGGCUGACUGAUGCAGGAUUUCACAAGGGCUGGCAACAGCGUCUUGUAAAACUCGAUCUCAAAUCAAGUAAGACUACCCGCUGAACUUAAGCAUAUCAAUAAGCGGAGGAAAAGAAACUAACAAGGAUUCCCCUAGUAACGGCGAGUGAAGCGGGAUGAGCUCAAAUUUAAAAUCUGGCUGGUUUACUAGUCCGAAUUGUAGUUUAUAGAAGCGUUUUCGGUGGCAGCCUGGGUAUAAAUCCUUUGGAAUAGGGUAUCAUAGAGGGUGAGAAUCCCGUCUUUGACUCAGUGCAUGCUACUAUGUGAUACGUUUUCAAAGAGUCGAGUUGUUUGGGAAU